rnacentral:rRNA from 1 species
UUAAGCGACUAAGCGUACACGGUGGAUGCCCUGGCAGUCAGAGGCGAUGAAGGACGUGCUAAUCUGCGAUAAGCGUCGGUAAGGUGAUAUGAACCGUUAUAACCGGCGAUUUCCGAAUGGGGAAACCCAGUGUGAUUCGUCACACUAUCAUUAACUGAAUCCAUAGGUUAAUGAGGCGAACCGGGGGAACUGAAACAUCUAAGUACCCCGAGGAAAAGAAAUCAACCGAGAUUCCCCCAGUAGCGGCGAGCGAACGGGGAGCAGCCCAGAGCCUGAAUCAGUGUGUGUGUUAGUGGAAGCGUCUGGAAAGGCGCGCGAUACAGGGUGACAGCCCCGUACACAAAAAUGCACAUACUGUGAGCUCGAUGAGUAGGGCGGGACACGUGGUAUCCUGUCUGAAUAUGGGGGGACCAUCCUCCAAGGCUAAAUACUCCUGACUGACCGAUAGUGAACCAGUACCGUGAGGGAAAGGCGAAAAGAACCCCGGCGAGGGGAGUGAAAAAGAACCUGAAACCGUGUACGUACAAGCAGUGGGAGCCUCUUAAUGGGGUGACUGCGUACCUUUUGUAUAAUGGGUCAGCGACUUAUAUUCUGUAGCAAGGUUAACCGAAUAGGGGAGCCGAAGGGAAACCGAGUCUUAACUGGGCGUUAAGUUGCAGGGUAUAGACCCGAAACCCGGUGAUCUAGCCAUGGGCAGGUUGAAGGUUGGGUAACACUAACUGGAGGACCGAACCGACUAAUGUUGAAAAAUUAGCGGAUGACUUGUGGCUGGGGGGGAAAGGCCAAUCAAACCGGGAGAUAGCUGGUUCUCCCCGAAAGCUAUUUAGGUAGCGCCUCGUGAAUUCAUCUCCGGGGGUAGAGCACUGUUUCGGCAAGGGGGUCAUCCCGACUUACCAACCCGAUGCAAACUGCGAAUACCGGAGAAUGUUAUCACGGGAGACACACGGCGGGUGCUAACGUCCGUCGUGAAGAGGGAAACAACCCAGACCGCCAGCUAAGGUCCCAAAGUCAUGGUUAAGUGGGAAACGAUGUGGGAAGGCCCAGACAGCCAGGAUGUUGGCUUAGAAGCAGCCAUCAUUUAAAGAAAGCGUAAUAGCUCACUGGUCGAGUCGGCCUGCGCGGAAGAUGUAACGGGGCUAAACCAUGCACCGAAGCUGCGGCAGCGACGCUUAUGCGUUGUUGGGUAGGGGAGCGUUCUGUAAGCCUGCGAAGGUGUACUGUGAGGUAUGCUGGAGGUAUCAGAAGUGCGAAUGCUGACAUAAGUAACGAUAAAGCGGGUGAAAAGCCCGCUCGCCGGAAGACCAAGGGUUCCUGUCCAACGUUAAUCGGGGCAGGGUGAGUCGACCCCUAAGGCGAGGCCGAAAGGCGUAGUCGAUGGGAAACAGGUUAAUAUUCCUGUACUUGGUGUUACUGCGAAGGGGGGACGGAGAAGGCUAUGUUGGCCGGGCGACGGUUGUCCCGGUUUAAGCGUGUAGGCUGGUUUUCCAGGCAAAUCCGGAAAAUCAAGGCUGAGGCGUGAUGACGAGGCACUACGGUGCUGAAGCAACAAAUGCCCUGCUUCCAGGAAAAGCCUCUAAGCAUCAGGUAACAUCAAAUCGUACCCCAAACCGACACAGGUGGUCAGGUAGAGAAUACCAAGGCGCUUGAGAGAACUCGGGUGAAGGAACUAGGCAAAAUGGUGCCGUAACUUCGGGAGAAGGCACGCUGAUAUGUAGGUGAAGUCCCUUGCGGAUGGAGCUGAAAUCAGUCGAAGAUACCAGCUGGCUGCAACUGUUUAUUAAAAACACAGCACUGUGCAAACACGAAAGUGGACGUAUACGGUGUGACGCCUGCCCGGUGCCGGAAGGUUAAUUGAUGGGGUUAGCGGUAACGCGAAGCUCUUGAUCGAAGCCCCGGUAAACGGCGGCCGUAACUAUAACGGUCCUAAGGUAGCGAAAUUCCUUGUCGGGUAAGUUCCGACCUGCACGAAUGGCGUAAUGAUGGCCAGGCUGUCUCCACCCGAGACUCAGUGAAAUUGAACUCGCUGUGAAGAUGCAGUGUACCCGCGGCAAGACGGAAAGACCCCGUGAACCUUUACUAUAGCUUGACACUGAACAUUGAGCCUUGAUGUGUAGGAUAGGUGGGAGGCUUUGAAGUGUGGACGCCAGUCUGCAUGGAGCCGACCUUGAAAUACCACCCUUUAAUGUUUGAUGUUCUAACGUUGGCCCCUAAUCGGGGUUGCGGACAGUGUCUGGUGGGUAGUUUGACUGGGGCGGUCUCCUCCUAAAGAGUAACGGAGGAGCACGAAGGUUGGCUAAUCCUGGUCGGACAUCAGGAGGUUAGUGCAAUGGCAUAAGCCAGCUUGACUGCGAGCGUGACGGCGCGAGCAGGUGCGAAAGCAGGUCAUAGUGAUCCGGUGGUUCUGAAUGGAAGGGCCAUCGCUCAACGGAUAAAAGGUACUCCGGGGAUAACAGGCUGAUACCGCCCAAGAGUUCAUAUCGACGGCGGUGUUUGGCACCUCGAUGUCGGCUCAUCACAUCCUGGGGCUGAAGUAGGUCCCAAGGGUAUGGCUGUUCGCCAUUUAAAGUGGUACGCGAGCUGGGUUUAGAACGUCGUGAGACAGUUCGGUCCCUAUCUGCCGUGGGCGCUGGAGAACUGAGGGGGGCUGCUCCUAGUACGAGAGGACCGGAGUGGACGCAUCACUGGUGUUCGGGUUGUCAUGCCAAUGGCACUGCCCGGUAGCUAAAUGCGGAAGAGAUAAGUGCUGAAAGCAUCUAAGCACGAAACUUGCCCCGAGAUGAGUUCUCCCUGACUCCCUGAGAGUCCUGAAGGAACGUUGAAGACGACGACGUUGAUAGGCCGGGUGUGUAAGCGCAGCGAUGCGUUGAGCUAACCGGUACUAAUGAACCGUGAGGCUUAACCUU